rnacentral:misc_RNA from 1 species
GGCCAAUAGAACUUCAAUUGUAGGCAUUAUCAUCAUCAUCUUUCACCAUAUCCAUGCAUCUUCAAGCAUAGUCUAAGAUAAAGCUUUCAUACAUGCGGCCCAUUAUAGUCACCCAAAGAUCUCUAGUUAAACUGGGUAAACUCCUACUAAACCUUCAUCCCAACUCAGGUGAAGGUUACUAUUCUAAAACAGAGGACCAAAGAAUUAGCAUUUAUACAAGGCAGCACCAAUUCACAAUCCUAAAAUCUUAGUAAAUUUUGUUACCAUUGGUCACCGUUGAAACAAUGUCAGAAAGCAACAUCAAUUUGUAAUGCUAAAAUGUCAGUAAAUUUUGUUACCAUUGGUAAAUCAAUGUCAGAAUCCAUCAACUUCCUCAUCACUGUUGAUUUCAUCAUCUAAAUCAGAAGAGUCGACCUUGGCAUCGGUUUGCAGAUCUUGGAGCUUAUUAAUAGCAUAUCUUGCAUCAGAAACCAAGGCAUUUUUUGCUGCUCUAACCACAUCUAUUUUCUGAAUGUUGGCUUGCCCACAAUUCUCUUUUCCUGCUCUUGCACAUGCUGCCCUUCUCUUAGCUUCCCUGCAAUGUAACUGGUCAAUAUAUUUCUCAUGCAAGGCCCUGUUUUUCACCUGCUUCAGUACUGGGGGACUAACAAGAUCUAGCCCACAUGAACUUCUAAAUCUAGAGAGAGGCUUUUUCUGACCAGAAGAAGAUCUCCCAAGGCUCUUCUGAAGAAAUCCUAGUUUUUCUUGCAAAUGCUGUGGGGUGGAAGCAUCAUUCAGCUGAGAAUCUUGUAUGGAUGGACUCACAUUGGGCUCAAGAAUGGAGAAUAGAUCUGCUUCAUCACUCUGGUCCCUGCAAUUAUGCUUUUGCAGCAACUGUCUAACAGUUUUCUGUGUAAUACGACUCCUCCGUUUAUAACAACUUAAUCUUUUAACCAUCAGAUCAGGAGAGCUAAGCAAUCUGCCAGCAGAGAGUGAAAAACAUCCAAGGGGUGAUGAGUUCAUUCUCUUUGCCCUUGAUCGAGGCAAAGGUUGAGGUGGAGUUAUAUGGUCAGAGUGAAUUUUCUCAAAGCAAUCCUGAGCUGUCUUUCCAGGCACCAGUUUAGAAACCUUCUUCCAGAAAUGAGGAGUGGGCUUGGCCGCAAAAUAAGCUUUCUCCAAUGCCAGUUCUUGCUCCCUCGUCCACACUUUAACACUUCCAUAACGACCUUCCGCUCCUCUCUUCCUCUUGCUAAUAACCCCAGCCUCUUGACUUCUUCCAAAAACAAAUUUCCCUUUCGAUGCUUCUAGUCCUAAAACCAGUUCAACAUCCAAACAAUCCUGAGUCCUUCUUUCACUUCUCUGCACAAUCUCAUCACACGAAUCCACACCCACUUCCCUUUUUUCUUUAUUCAACAAUACCGCCUUAUAAUCUGUAGAUUCAUCCAAAACACGAUUGCUCGGUUUCUUGCUAGAAUUGUUAUUCGUUGAUUUAUCUGAAGCAGAAUGUCUGAGUUUCUCUGACUUACCACUGCUCUUCUUCGUUUCGUCUUGGUCACUCUUCUCUUUAAAUGCAUUAGUGUUUCCCAGUAAAGAAAGCCUCAAAGAUCGCCUAAUAUUCGAAACGCACUCCACCCUCUUACUAAACCUCGGAGAUCUUCUCAAACCAAAAACGGGAGUCGGACAAAUUGAGGACUUUCCAUCGAAGUUUCUCAGUUCCUUGGACGCUUUUUGCCUGUUAUCUCUGUGAAAGUUUGAGGGUUUCAGCUUGUCACUUUUCGAAUGGGACUUUUGAUGGAGAAAUCUGUUGGAUCGACGGAGAGGAAUGAUUACCUCGUGCUCUGCCUGUGUGGUGGUGGAUGUGGUAGGUUUUCUGGAAGUUCUCCGUUUUGGCAUUUCGUAGAGCAAUUGGUGAGUGUGUUCUCGUUUCUUGUUCAUUUCGCAUUCGAGUGCAUUG